rnacentral:rRNA from 1 species
UACGUAGGGGGCUAGCGUUGUCCGGAAUCAUUGGGCGUAAAGGGCGCGUAGGCGGCUUUGUAAGUCCGUUGUGAAAUCCCUCGGCUCAACCGAGGAACUGCGACGGAUACUGCUUGGCUUGAGUCCCGGAGAGGGUAGCGGAAUUCCCAGUGUAGCGGUGAAAUGCGUAGAUAUUGGGAGGAACAUCGGUGGCGAAGGCGGCUACCUGGACGGGUACUGACGCUGAUGCGCGAAAGCUAGGGGAGCAAACAGG